UACGGAGGGUGCAAGCGUUAUCCGGAUUCACUGGGUUUAAAGGGUGCGUAGGCGGGCUUGUAAGUCAGUGGUGAAAGCCCGGAGCUUAACUCCGGAACUGCCAUUGAUACUGCAGGUCUUGAGUACACUUGAGGUGGGCGGAAUACAUCAUGUAGUGGUGAAAUACUUAGAUAUGAUGUAGAACACCGAUUGCGAAGGCAGCUCACUAAAUUGUAACUGACGCUGAGGCACGAAAUCGUGGGGAUCAAACAGG
rnacentral:rRNA from 1 species